AUUGUGACAGUGCAUUUAAUUUUAUUAGAAAAUAAUUUAUUGCUGACUUUUGUGUGAGUUUCUUCUUUCUUGGACGUGUUUUUUAGUUUUUAUCUGCUUUUGGAGAAUGGUAGACUCGACGGCUUCGAGUUUGGGGACGCAACGAAGUGAAAACGUUUUCGCCCGCUUCUUGGACGUUUUCUGGUUCUCGCCGGCGCUGCUCCUCUACGAGCUGCUGCUUGAAUUGCUUUGUCUGAAUUACUUCGGCAUCGCUUUCGCCUGCAUGGUAUACUUCGCAUUUUCGGCGUUCAUUCUACACACGGUGCUUUAAUCUUGGAAAAUGUUCAACUUGCCUCAUACAGGGUAAAACAAAAAGAAAUAUAUUUUCUUUUGAAAAAUAAAGUAUACCAACACAUAAA